UUGGUCAUUUAGAGGAAGUAAAAGUCGUAACAAGGUCUCCGUUGGUGAACCAGCGGAGGGAUCAUUAAAGAGUUGCAAAACUCCCUUUAAACCAUCGCGAACGUUACCCACGACGCCGUUGCCUCGGCGGAGCGUCGCCCCGUGCCGUCAAAAGCACGGGGCGGCGCCCGCCGGGAGACCGGCACAACCAAACUCUUAUAACCAUUGGCCUCUCUGAGUAAGAUUUUUAAAUAAGUCAAAACUUUCAACAACGGAUCUCUUGGUUCUGGCAUCGAUGAAGAACGCAGCGAAAUGCGAUAAGUAAUGUGAAUUGCAGAAUUCAGUGAAUCAUCGAAUCUUUGAACGCACAUUGCGCCCGCCAGUAUUCUGGCGGGCAUGCCUGUUCGAGCGUCAUUUCAACCAUCAAGCCCCCGGGCUUGUGUUGGGGACCUGCGGCUGCCCGCAGGCCCUGAAAACCAGUGGCGGGCUCGCUAGUCACACCGAGCGUAGUAGCAUACAUCUCGCUCAGGGCGUGCUGCGGGUUCCGGCCGUUAAACAGCCUCUGCGCUACACCCAAGGUUGACCUCGGAUCAGGUAGGAAGACCCGCUGAACUUAAGCAUAUCAAUAAGCGGAGGA
rnacentral:rRNA from 1 species